ACUUUGGGGUGGAGCUUGUAGCGAAACUAAGCAGGAACGAUCAACAGAAAACAUUUGCAGAUUCAUUUGGUUUGGAGUUUUCAGGUUCUGUUGUGCUAUUAGUCAGUUUGACUUCCAACCAUAGCCAUGUUCAUGUUCAUCUGCUCAAUUAUUACGUUCUCAGUAAUAGGUGGCAGUUAUGAGCAGACUAUAGAGCCAAACCAACAUGAAGUGUAUGCAGAAGUGGGUAGUAAUGUUCUUCUUUCCUGCAACUACUCCUCAGCAGACAGUCUACUAUGGUAUCAACAGUCUCCAGGAUCAGCUCCCCAAUACCUUCUGCUCAUCCAGCACUACACUGGGACUGAAAAUAGAGAUGAUUCUCUUGACUCUCGCUUUUCUGGUAAACUGAACAAAGAGAAGACCCGUGUGGAUCUGGAGAUCUCCUCUGCUGAAGAGACAGACUCUGCUAUGUACUACUGUGCUCUGAAGCCCACAGUGACAGGAAACCCAGAAACACUGUACAAAAACCUAACAUCGCCUGAGAGAGUUUCUACACUGUAGUUACAGGUUUCGUUUGACAAUAGCUCCAUCAAGUGGAGUCUAUAUGCAGCCAUUAUAUUGUGUCAAGAUGAGGAGCUUAGUUUUACAAAUCAUGUGUCAUGAGAGUAACUGAGUGAAUGUUCCAAGAGAAGAUCAUUUAACAGAGAAGUCUCUGUCUAACACCCAGUCGCUAUGAUGC